rnacentral:rRNA from 1 species
AUUGAACGCUGGCGGCAGGCUUAACACAUGCAAGUCGAGCGAGCGGCGGACGGGCGAGUAAUGUCUGGGAAACUGCCUGAUGGAGGCGGAUAACUACUGGAAACGGUGGCUAAUACCGCAUAACAUCAGAUGUGCCGAGAGUGGAUUAGCUAGUCGGUGGGGUAAUGGCUCACCUAGGCGACGAUCCCUAGCUGGUCUGAGAGGAUGACCAGCCACACUGGAACUGAGACACGGGCCAGACUCCUACGGGAGGCAGCAGUGGGGAAUAUUGCACAAUGGGCGAAAGCCUGAUGCAGCCAUGCCGCGUGAGUGAAGAAGGCCUUCGGGUUGUAAAGCUCUUUCAGCGAGGAAGCGUUACUCGCCGAAGAAGCAACGGCUAACUCCGUGCCAGCAGCCGCGGUAAUAC